GGGGUUGUAGCUCAGUGGUAGAGCGCCUGCCUAGUGCGUACGAGGCACCGCGUUCUAUCCUCAGUACCA
rnacentral:tRNA from 1 species